GCGAGCUUGAAGGAUUAUUUCCUUGAAAAGAAAGAUCAUGAGAGCUUUUAAGAAGCUCUCUUGAUGGAGGGGAGCGGCAGACGGGUGAGUAACGCGUGGGAAUCUACCCAUCCCUACGGAACAACUCCGGGAAACUGGAGCUAAUACCGUAUACGCCCUUCGGGGGAAAGAUUUAUCGGGGAUGGAUGAGCCCGCGUUGGAUUAGCUAGUUGGUGGGGUAAAGGCCUACCAAGGCGACGAUCCAUAGCUGGUCUGAGAGGAUGAUCAGCCACAUUGGGACUGAGACACGGCCCAAACUCCUACGGGAGGCAGCAGUGGGGAAUAUUGGACAAUGGGCGCAAGCCUGAUCCAGCCAUGCCGCGUGAGUGAUGAAGGCCUUAGGGUUGUAAAGCUCUUUCACCGGAGAAGAUAAUGACGGUAUCCGGAGAAGAAGCCCCGGCUAACUUCGUGCCAGCAGCCGCGGUAAUACGAAGGGGGCUAGCGUUGUUCGGAAUUACUGGGCGUAAAGCGCACGUAGGCGGAUAUUUAAGUCAGGGGUGAAAUCCCAGAGCUCAACUCUGGAACUGCCUUUGAUACUGGGUAUCUUGAGUAUGGAAGAGGUAAGUGGAAUUGCGAGUGUAGAGGUGAAAUUCGUAGAUAUUCGCAGGAACACCAGUGGCGAAGGCGGCUUACUGGUCCAUUACUGACGCUGAGGUGCGAAA
rnacentral:rRNA from 1 species